GACGAACGCUGGCGGCGUGCUUAACCCAUGCAAGUCGAACGGAAAGGCCCUUCUUUUGUGGGGUGCUCGAGUGGCGAACGGGUGAGUAACACGUGAGUAACCUUCCCUUGACUUUUGGAUAACUUCCGGAAACUGGGGCUAAUACCGGAUAGGGGCUCCUGCUGCAUGGUGGGGGUUUGAAAGUUUCGGCGGUUGGGGAUGGACUCGCGGCUUAUCAGCUUGUUGGUGGGGUAGUGGCUUACCAAGGCUUUGACGGGUAGCCGGCCUGAGAGGGUGACCGGCCACAUUGGGACUGAGAUACGGCCCAGACUCCUACGGGAGGCAGCAGUGGGGAAUAUUGCACAAUGGGCGGAAGCCUGAUGCAGCAACGCCGCGUGCGGGAUGACGGCCUUCGGGUUGUAAACCGCUUUCGCCUGUGACGAAGCGUGAGUGACGGUAAUGGGUAAAGAAGCACCGGCUAACUACGUG
rnacentral:rRNA from 1 species